GACGAACGCUGGCGGCGUGCUUAACACAUGCAAGUCGAACGGAAAGGCCCUGCUUUUGUGGGGUGCUCGAGUGGCGAACGGGUGAGUAUCACGUGAGUAACCUGCCCUUGACUUUGGGAUAACUUCAGGAAACUGGGGCUAAUACCGGAUAGGAGAUCCUGCUGCAUGGUGGGGGUUGGAAAGUUUCGGCGGUUGGGGAUGGACUCGCGGCUUAUCAGCUUGUUGGUGGGGUAGUGGCUUACCAAGGGUUUGACGGGUAGGCGGCCUGUGAGGGUGACCGGCCACAUUGGGACUGAGGUACGGCCCAGACUCCUACGGGAGGCAGCAGUGGGGAAUAUUACACAAUGGGCGGAAGCCUGAUGCAGCAACGCCGCGUGCGGAAUGACGGCCUUCGGGUUGUAAACCGCUUUCGCCUGUGACGAAGCGGGAGUGACGGUAACGAGUAAAGAAGCACCGGCUAACUACGUG
rnacentral:rRNA from 1 species